rnacentral:rRNA from 1 species
UACGGAGGGUGCAAGCGUUAUCCGGAUUCACUGGGGUUAAAGGGUGCGUAGGUGGGCUUGUAAGUCAGUGGUGAAAUCUCCAGGCUUAACCUGGAAACUGCCAUUGAUACUAUAGGUCUUGAAUCUCGCGUAGGUAAGCGGAAUAUGUCAUGUAGCGGUGAAAUGCUUAGAUAUGACAUAGAACACCAAUUGCGAAGGCAGUACAUUGGGCCACUCCUGACACUGAAACACGAAAGCGUGGGUAGCGAAUGGG